UACGUAGGGGGCGAGCGUUGUCCGGAAUUAUUGGGCGUUAAAAGGGUUCGUAGGCGGUAAUACAUGUCAGAUGUGUAAAUCUUGUGGCUUAACCACAAUCAAGCAUCUGAAACUGUAUAACUUGAGUGGAGGAGAGGUAAGUGGAAUUCCUAGUGUAGCGGUGAAAUGCGUAGAUAUUAGGAGGAACACCAGUUGCGAAGGCGGCUCUCUGGACUGUAACUGACGCUGAGGCACGAAAGCGUGGGGAGCAAACAGGAUUAGAUACCCU
rnacentral:rRNA from 1 species